rnacentral:rRNA from 1 species
UACGGGAGGCAGCAGUGGGGAAUAUUGCACAAUGGGCGAAAGCCUGAUGCAGCUAUGCCGCGUGUAUGAAGAAGGCCUUAGGGUUGUAAAGUACUUUCAUCGGGGAGGAAAAACAAAACUAAUAAUUUUAUUUCUUGACGUUACCCGAAAAAGAAGCACCGGCUAACUCCGUGCCAGCAGCCGCGGUAAUACGGAGGGUGCUAGCGUUAAUCAGAAUUACUGGGCGUAAAGAGCACGUAGGUGGUUUUUUUAAAGUCAGAUGUGAAAUCCCUGGGCUUAACCUAGGAACUGCAUUUUGAAACUGAAAUACUAGAGUAUCGUAGAGGGAGGUAGAAUUCUAGGUGUAGCGGUGAAAUGCGUAGAUAUCUGGAGGAAUACCUGUGGCGAAAGCGGCCUCCUAAACGAAUACUGACACUGAGGUGCGAAAGCGUGGGGAGCAAACAGGGAUAGAUACC